UGCUCAGAAUUUAGAACAGCACCUGGCGUAGGGGUCUCACUCUUUUGCCCGGGCUGGAGUGCAUGGGCGCAAUCUUGGCUCACUGCAGCAUCGACCUCCCAGACUCAAUCGCUCCUCCCACCUCAGCCUCAGGAGUAGCCAGGACUACAGGCACAUGUCACCAUGCCAGGCUAAGUUUUGUAUUUUUGGUAGAGACAGGGUUUCACCAUGUUGCUCAGGCUAGUCUCAAACUCCUGGGCUCAAGCAAUCUGCCUGCCGCAACCUCCCUAAAUGCUGGGAUUCCAUGUGUGAGCCAUCGUUCUCAGACUGAUAAUUUUCUUAAAAUUGCUAGUGCUACUGUAAGAGACAUAGUUAAGUUUAUAUAAAAAGGAAAACCAAGGUAUUGCUUAGUUGUCAUAAAGUUGUGUGAAGAUUAAGUGAAAUAUGUUAGUGGUUUUCUCACAGAGUAUACACACACAGAGUUACACUUUACACGGAAAUUUAUAUAUCCCACAAGUAAACUGCUUUUAAGGGAAUCAUUUUCUAGUUUCCCAAUUUCCAUAUGUAUGAUUUCUUAAAUUUUGUAUGCCUGAGAAACAAUGCAAUCAAGGCAUCCCGCUGGUUCUUCUGUCUCAACUCCUCUGUUUCAACAGUCCUUCCCUUACUUUCGAAAAAAAGCAUAUUUUUCAUUGAUCUCAAAUAUUACAAUAACAUAUACAUAGAAUAUAAAAAUUUGGGGGUACCA
rnacentral:antisense_RNA from 1 species